rnacentral:rRNA from 1 species
GAUGAACGCUGGCGGCGUGCCUAAUACAUGCAAGUCGAGCGAACAGACGAGGAGCUUGCUCCUCUGACGUUAGCGGCGGACGGGUGAGUAACACGUGGAUAACCUACCUAUAAGACUGGGAUAACUUCGGGAAACCGGAGCUAAUACCGGAUAACAUGUUGAACCGCAUGGUUCAACAGUGAAAGACGGUCUUGCUGUCACUGAUAGAUGGAUCCACGCCGCAUUAGCUAGUUGGUAAGGUAACGGCUUACCAAGGCAACGAUGCGUAGCCGACCUGAGAGGGUGAUCUGCCACACUGGAACUGAGCCACGGUCCAGACUCCUACGGGAGGCAGCAGUAGGGAAUCUUCCGCAAUGGGCGAAAGCCUGACGGAGCAACGCCGCGUGAGUGAAGAAGGUCUUCGGAUCGUAAAACUCUGUUAUUAGGGAAGAACAAAUGUGUAAGUAACUAUGCACGUCUUGACGGUACCUAAUCAGAAAGCCACGGCUAACUACGUG